CAUGGCCUGGCGCGAGCGGGCUCUGGCCUAAAAGGAGCCGUCCAAGCCGGCGGAAUCUUUCUGUUUGAGCUGGAAGAAAAUAUGGGGUCAUGGGAUCCAGCGCCGCCCUCGCCCUCCCAGACUCAGAAUGCGAAGACCGAGGAGGCCAGGGCCCUGCCCCGAGGGUUAGGAGCGGGCCCUGGCCGUGGGGGAGGGGCGGUAGAGGGGGGAGCCUUAGGAGCACCCCCUGUGCUGUUAGCAUGUGCAGGCUGCAUUCCAUGGUGGCGCCCCGGACCUGAGCAAGACAAAGCCAGGAUGAUGGGGGCUGUGGGGCCGACACAGGGCAGGGAUGGAGUGACGUGGCCGGCGUCCCACCCCAGCUGCAGAAUCCGGGAAGCCUGUAACGGAGAGGGCAUUGAGGGGCUUCGUCCAUCCGUCCGUGCUGUCAGCCUUGCCAUGGGCUCUGUGAAACCCAAGGCUCCUCCGGAAGAAGCAGCAGAGGAAGUCCAGGGCCCGACAGUGUGGCCCAUUUCACAGACGGUGCUGAUCCCAGGAACACUCGUGGGGAAACCCUGGUGUGCUGGGCCCCGCGUCAGGGCUGCACCGGAAUCCGCCCUGGAACGGUGGGGGUGGGGAUGGUUACGGCGUGGGUAGUAGUAGGAUUCCCCCAAAGGCCCCUGUGUUGGGAGACUUGGUCCCCAAAGGCUUACAUUGACGGCUAAUGGAUUAAAGGUGACAA